UACGAAGGUGGCAAGCGUUGUUCGGAUUCACUGGGCGUACAGGGUGUGUAGGCGGUUUGGUAAGCCUUCUGUUAAAGCUUCGGGCCCAACCCGGAAAGCGCAGAGGGUACUGCCAGGCUAGAGGGCGGAAGAGGGUCGCGGAAUUCCCGGUGUAGAGGUGAAAUUCGUAGAUAUCAGGAGGAACACCGGUGGCGAAGGCGGCUUUCUGGACAGAUACCGACGCUGAGGCACGAAAGCUAGGGGAGCAAACAGG
rnacentral:rRNA from 1 species